ACGCACGCUGGCGGCGUGCUUAACACAUGCAAGUCGAACGGUGAAGCAGAGCUUGCUCUGUGGAUCAGUGGCGAACGGGUGAGUAACACGUGAGUAACCUGCCCUUGACUCUGGGAUAAGCGUUGGAAACGACGUCUAAUACCGGAUACGAGCUGAGACCGCAUGGUCAUCAGUUGGAAAGAUUUUUUGGUCAAGGAUGGACUCGCGGCCUAUCAGCUUGUUGGUGAGGUAAUGGCUCACCAAGGCGACGACGGGUAGCCGGCCUGAGAGGGUGACCGGCCACACUGGGACUGAGACACGGCCCAGACUCCUACGGGAGGCAGCAGUGGGGAAUAUUGCACAAUGGGCGCAAGCCUGAUGCAGCAACGCCGCGUGAGGGAUGACGGCCUUCGGGUUGUAAACCUCUUUUAGUAGGGAAGAAGCGAAAGUGACGGUACCUGCAGAAAAAGCACCGGCUAACUACGUG
rnacentral:rRNA from 1 species